GGGCAGGAGGCUAUCAUGGUGACAGUAGAGCAUGAGUCUAGAAAACUCCAACAGGAAAUGGAGGAGAACUCCAAGGUAACCAUUUAUUAAUUCUACUAUAUAACCCAAACUCUGGAGUGGAGCUCUCACGAAGUUCCCUUCUUCACGCUUCCAUGGCAACAUGCAUCGUACAUGCCAUGCUCUAAUAUAUAAUUUAAAAAAGAAAACUUGGUAUAUAUUUGUGCUACGAACACUCCACCUGCAUUAAGAAUGAAAUGCUAGUCAGCAGCAUUAUAAUCUUCUGGUUACUAUGUUGCAGUUGAGGGAGUUCUUAAUGGAUCGUGGCCGCAUUGUUGACGUCUUGCAGUAAGUUUCCACAUGCGUAGUUAAUUUAACUUUGAAUUUGUUUGCAAACUCCAAUGGUGUGCAAGCUUCUAUUUUCCAAACUUUUGUCUGCACUAUGACUUUCUUGUGUAGUGAUUAUUGCAUGCAUUCGUGGUUUAACUUUUCAAGUGCUUUUUAUAUGGAAACAAUAAUCUUGACUGUAAAUUUACUAUCAGUAUAAAUCUGGGAAU
rnacentral:lncRNA from 1 species